GACGAACGCUGGCGGCGUGCUUAACACAUGCAAGUCGAACGGUAAGGCUCCAGCUUGCUGGGGUACACGAGUGGCGAACGGGUGAGUAACACGUGGGUGACCUGCCCUGCACUUCGGGAUAAGCCUGGGAAACUGGGUCUAAUACCGGAUAGGACCGCACCGUGAGGGUGUGGUGGAAAGUUUUUUCGGUGUGGGAUGGGCCCGCGGCCUAUCAGCUUGUUGGUGGGGUAAUGGCCUACCAAGGCGGCGACGGGUAGCCGGCCUGAGAGGGUGGACGGCCACAUUGGGACUGAGACACGGCCCAGACUCCUUCGGGAGGCAGCAGUGGGGAAUAUUGCACAAUGGGCGGAAGCCUGAUGCAGCAACGCCGCGUGGGGGAUGACGGCCUUCGGGUUGUAAACUCCUUUCGCCAUCGACGAAGGGUUUCUGACGGUAGAUGGAGAAGAAGCACCGGCUAACUACGUG
rnacentral:rRNA from 1 species